AACGAACGCUGGCGGCAGGCCCAACACAUGCAAGUCGAGCGAAGCCUUCGGGCUUAGCGGCGGACGGGUGGGUAACGCGUGGGAACGUGCCCUUUGGUACGGAAUAGCCCCGGGAAACUGGGAGUAAUACCGUAUGUGGUCGAGAGACGAAAGAUUUAUCGCCAAAGGAACGGCCCGCGUUGGAUUAGGUAGUUGGUGGGGUAAUGGCCUACCAAGCCGACGAUCCAUAGCUGGUUUGAGAGGAUGAUCAGCCACACUGGGACUGAGACACGGCCCAGACUCCUACGGGAGGCAGCAGUGGGGAAUCUUAGACAAUGGGGGAAACCCUGAUCUAGCCAUGCCGCGUGAUCGAUGAAGGCCUUAGGGUUGUAAAGAUCUUUCAGUGGGGAAGAUAAUGACUGUACCCACAGAAGAAGCCCCGGCUAACUCCGUGCCAGCCGCCGCGGUAAAAC
rnacentral:rRNA from 1 species